CUUUAUAAAGUUGUUUGAAGCGUCUAUGAUAAACAGAGAGCAAAUUAGAAUCCAAGGAAGUUGACAUGUCAUCACUUCAUUUUUUUGCGCCUGCGCAUAAAUCUGAGAAGCGUGAGUUUUCAUCAUUGUUUAUCUAGACAUAGGAUAGGUUGUGUGAAAAUAUUACUGAUGUUUAACGUUAAAAAUGGACCAAAAGAUUAAUGCUAAACAACAUUUGACAUGUUUGAACGGACGUAAAUAGAUUAUUUACUAGGUUUUUUUAGCUUUUCGGCGUGAUUUUACACUCCCCCCACCACGUUUUGUGGGAGCAUAAUGAACGCUAAGUACUUGGUGUUAUUUGGACAUAAAUUAUGAACUUUGUCAAAAGAAACCACAUUUGUUCCAGACCUGGGAUGCCUUCCGGACCUGGGAUGCCUGCCUUCUGAUGGAGAUAAUCAAAGGUGUCUUCUAAGACUUAGAGGAGAAACGUCUCAUACAGACUUUAUACUCAGCUUCACCAGAGGCUGUGUGUCUGGAGAGAGAGAAGAGUCUUUGUGAAGAAGGGAAGGUUGACUCCUGGUACGCUCAAAGUUAGCAUGGAGAAUUUGCCUGCGUCCCGAAUGGCACCACAUUCCCUACAUAGGACAUACAUGUUUGACCAGAGCCCUAUGGAACGCUGUCAAGGUGUUAAUACCUAGGAGAGUUUCUGAAGAGAAGAGGGUUCUUCACAGGACAGAGAGAGAGAACAGUCAAUCACUAGGGGAGAAGAGGGGUCUUCACAGGGAGAGAGAGAACAGUCCAUCACUAGGGGAGAAGAGGGGUCUUCACAGGAGAGAGAGAACAGUCCAUCACUAGGGGGAAGAGGGAGGGGUCUUCACAGGAGAGAGAGAACAGACCAUCACUAGGGGAGAAGGGCCUUCACAGGAGAGAGA
rnacentral:lncRNA from 1 species